rnacentral:rRNA from 1 species
UACGUAGGGUGCGAGCGUUAAUCGGAAUUACUGGGCGUAAAGGGUGCGCAGGCGGUUAUAUAAGACAGAUGUGAAAUCCCCGGGCUCAACCUGGGAACUGCGUUUGUGACUGUAUGACUAGAGUACGGUAGAGAGGGGUGGAAUUCCUGGUGUAGCAGUGAAAUGCGUAGAUAUCAGGAGGAACACGAUGGCGAAGCAGCCCCUUGGACCUGUACUGACGCUCAUGCACGAAAGCGUGGGGAGCAAACAGG